CCCUUCAUUUUUGUUUUCAAAUCACGAAGAAAUUGUGUUCGAGAUCGAUACAUGACCAUCUUACAUGGCGUGUGUGGUCCAAACGAAAGAAAUUGUAUUCGGACUUCGUCGCGGAUCGAUACAUGACCAUCUUACAUGACGUGUGUGGUCCAAACGAUUACUGAAGCUUGGAAGGUGAGAUGUCAUUAGCAAUCCCAUAUACAUGUGCUGGAUGUUUGACUAUGAAGUCGAACGGUCAUAGAUAAAUCAUGGUUCUUUGUAGGAGCAGGAUCUAGAGCGAUGCGACGUUCCAGAUUAUUAACAAAGAUAAAUCUAUCGGCGACAUAUCAGAUGAGGCAGUGUCGAGUGGCAGGCAAUCCAAAGCGGGCGCAUGUCGUCCGCACGAUACAAGAUAAGAUUGCAUGCAUGAUAGGCAGCUACUACUCCUAGCUAGGUGACUACGACGGGGACGGCCCUGAGGGGCACGGCGAGCGUGUUCACGGUGGUGAACUUCUCGGUGACGUCCAGCUCGUCGGCCGACACGCCGUCN
rnacentral:lncRNA from 1 species